GAUGAACGCUGGCGGCGUGCCUAAUACAUGCAAGUCGAGCGAACAGACGAGGAGCUUGCUCCUCUGACGUUAGCGGCGGACGGGUGAGUAACACGUGGAUAACCUACCUAUAAGACUGGGAUAACUUCGGGAAACCGGAGCUAAUACCGGAUAAUAUAUUGGACCGCAUGGUUCAAUAGUGAAAGACGGUUUUGCUGUCACUUAUAGAUGGAUCCGCGCCGCAUUAGCUAGUUGGUAAGGUAACGGCUUACCAAGGCAACGAUGCGUAGCCGACCUGAGAGGGUGAUCGGCCACACUGGAGCUGAGACACGGUCCAGACUCCUACGGGAGGCAGCAGUAGGGAAUCUUCCGCAAUGGGCGAAAGCCUGACGGAGCAACGCCGCGGGAGUGAUGAAGGUCUUCGGAUCGUAAAACUCUGUUAUUAGGGAAGAACAAAUGUGUAAGUAACUAUGCACGUCUUGACGGUACCUAAUCAGAAAGCCACGGCUAACUACGUG
rnacentral:rRNA from 1 species